rnacentral:lncRNA from 1 species
GCCACCGGCUUCAUGGUGGCUAUUUUCUGAAGGUGGCAGGAGAAGAUAAAACCAAAAUUCAGGGUUUGCUUUUUAAAUACCAUGCUAGUAAAAUCAGAACAGUAAUGACGGGAACCAAAAGAUCUAUCUGAAAUGUUCCUAAGCACAGACUCGAGAAAUGUAGGGAACUCGAGAGCAGCCACUCGGCCCCAGGAUCAACCCAGCACCGAAGAAAAACAACCAGAAGAAAUUAUUCUUCAGCCUGAAAUGAAGCCGGGAUCAAAUGGUUGCUGAUCAGAGCCCAUAUUUAAAUUGGAAAAGUCAAAUUGAGCAUUAUUAAAUAAAGCUUGUUUAAUA